GGUGGAGAGGAGAAAACUCUGUGCUAAAUAUUACUCCUGGAAAAGUGCAUUUGCUUCGGAGAAAUCUUUAUCAUGGGUCUCUAAGAGGAAGGAACAAUAGCAUCUUCUAUGUGCCGAGGUAGCGCAAUAAUGAACUCUGUUCAAGUGGAUCAAAAGCCAUCAAGGUCAAAAUUAGGCACAGGCUGUACAGGAAGCGUGAUUCUGGCAUCUGUUUGGUUUCUGGGAAGGCCUCAGGAAACUUAAAGUCAUGGAAGAAGGGGAAGGGAGAGCAGGCACGUCUUACAUGACCAAAGCAGGAAGAAGAGAGAGAAGUGUGGAGGUGCUAUACACUUUUAAACAGCCAGAUCUUGUGAGAACUCUGUCAGAAGAACAGCACUAGGGAAAUGGUGCUAAACCAUUCUUGGGGACUCCAUCCCUGUGAUACAAUCACCUCCCACCAGGCCCCACCUCCAACACUGAGAAUUACAACUCAACAUGAGAUUUGGAUGGGGACACAGAUCCAAACCAUAUCAAAUUUUCACACCUUUCAGUAAAGCUUUAUAUUUUUUAAGGAUAUUUAAGUACUUGGAAGUAGAAGUAGAGAGUAAGGGGAAUAUUGUACAGCCAUCACAGCCUUUGUCUACUAAAGAAGUCAGUUUCAUGUGACAAAUGUUCAUU
rnacentral:lncRNA from 10 species